rnacentral:tRNA from 1 species
UGGCUUAGUGGUAGAGCGCUUGCCUUACAUGCCUGAGGCCCUGGGUUCAAUUCCUUG